GAUGAACGCUGGCGGCGUGCCUAAUACAUGCAAGUCGAGCGAACGGACGAGAAGCUUGCUUCUCUGAUGUUAGCGGCGGACGGGUGAGUAACACGUGGAUAACCUACCUAUAAGACUGGGAUAACUUCGGGAAACCGGAGCUAAUACCGGAUAAUAUUUUGAACCGCAUGGUUCAAAAGUGAAAGACGGUCUUGCUGUCACUUAUAGAUGGAUCCGCGCUGCAUUAGCUAGUUGGUAAGGUAACGGCUUACCAAGGCAACGAUGCAUAGCCGACCUGAGAGAGUGAACGGCCACACUAGAAAUGAGACACGGUCCAGACUCCUACGGGAGGCAGCAGUAGGGAAUCUUCCGAAAUGGGCGAAAGCCUGACGGAGAAACGCCGCGUGAGUGAUGAAGGUCUUCGGAUCGUAAAACUCUGUUAUUAGGGAAGAAAAUAUGUGUAAGUAACUGUGCACAUCUUGACGGUACCUAAUCAGAAAGCCACGGCUAACUACGUG
rnacentral:rRNA from 1 species